rnacentral:tRNA from 1 species
GUCUUGGUAGUAUAGUGAAUAAGCACAUCGAACCGGAUAUCUGUAGGUGCGGGUUCGAGUCCCGCCCGAGGUU